rnacentral:lncRNA from 1 species
AAGGAGUCCUGCAGGGGGAUAUGUAAACAAGCAAGGAUGUCUUCAGGAGGAUCAGUGGAAGAGGAUGUCGAGAAAGAGCUGCUGCACUCAGAGAGUGACUGGGCGUACAUGGAGGACAAGAAAGUGCAGAGAGAAAGGAGGGAAAAGCAGGCUCCAGACAGCGUGGAGAGGCACCAGAUUAACCCUGAGGAACUGGCUCCAGACCAGACUCUUUUGUAUGAGAUAAGGAAAUUCUUCAGCAGCCUCAAGAAUUUUUCCAUUGAACCCAGGGAUCAGCCUUUGAGUUUCCUAACAAGGAGAGAAGAAAGACUGGGUUCAUAUCACUCACAAUUCUCUUCCAAGAACUUGACAGACUUUGGCGCAGAAUGGAAGCUACUGUUUAUCUUUUGCACAGAAGAGGAGAGCUUAAGCGCUGUCCUGUCAGCUCCACAUGGGGAGAGUCUGGCCUUGAACUCAGGUCCCACAGGUAAACAUCACAGCGGGCUCCUCCUCUCCAGGAAAGCAGCCUCCAUCCAAGUAGACUUGAUUGGGGUAGACUAAUAGCUGUCAUUUAA